rnacentral:rRNA from 4 species
UACCUGCGGAGGGAUCAUU